CCUACGGGAGGCAGCAGUAGGGAAUAUUGCACAAUGGGGGAAACCCUGAAGCAGCAACGCCGCGUGGGGGAUGAAGGUUUUCGGAUCGUAAACUCCUUUUGUUAGAGAAGAUAAUGACGGUAUCUAACGAAUAAGCACCGGCUAACUCCGUGCCAGCAGCCGCGGUAAUACGGAGGGGGCAAGCGUUACUCGGAAUCACUGGGCGUAAAGAGCGCGUAGGCGGGAUAGCAAGUCCGAUGUGAAAUCCUGGGGCGUAACCCUAGAACUGCAUUGGAAACUGUAAGUCUAGAGUAUGGGAGAGGUAGGUGGAAUUCGUGGUGUAGGGGUGAAAUGCGUAGAGAGCAAGAGGAAUACUCAGGGCGAAGGCGACCUGCUAGAACAUAACUGACGUUGAUGCGCGAAAGCGUGGGGAGCAAACAGGAUUAGAUACCCUAGUAGUC
rnacentral:rRNA from 1 species